rnacentral:rRNA from 1 species
GACGAACGCUGGCGGCGUGCUUAACACAUGCCAGUCGAACGGAAAGGCCCUGCUUUUGUGGGGUGCUCGAGUGGCGAACGGGUGAGUAACACGUGAGUAACCUGCCCUUGACUUUGGGAUAACUUCAGGAAACUGGGGCUAAUACCGGAUAGGAGCUCCUGCUGCAUGGUGGGGGUUGGAAAGUUUCGGCGGUUGGGGAUGGACUCGCGGCUUAUCAGCUUGUUGGUGGGGUAGUGGCUUACCAAGGCUUUGACGGGUAGCCGGCCUGAGAGGGUGACCGGCCAAAUGGGGAGGGAGAGAGGGACCGAACACAAACGGGAGGGAGGGAGGGGGAUAAUAGAAAAAGGGGGGGAAGCCGGAUGGAGCAACGACGGGGGGGGGAGGGGGGCAUGGGGGUUGAAAACCGAUUUCGCCUGGGAGGAAGGGUGAGGAAAGGAAAGGGGUAAAAAAGCACGGGCAAACUAGGG